GCAUGUCUGAAUACUGUGUUCCUUUUUUCAGUAGUUUACACAGCCAGACAUCAUGCAAAAGUAAAGUCGUCUCUUUAAAAUGCCUACAAUA
ensembl:snoRNA